AAAAAAAACAGACAAUCGAAUAAAAAAAACAAAACAAUAUUGCUAGAAAAUAUUUCAAUAAAAAUUAUGUUUAUAAAUAUGCACAUAUAAAUGUAAAUUAAACUACUCCAUACACAUACAAAAGAAUAUACAAUCACAUGCGUCUACUACUGUCAUUGGUAUAAAAGACUAAAGUAGUACUAUAGUAGUACUAAAGUAGUGCUAUAUUUCUCCAAGCCCCCCCCCC